GAGCCGUGGGCUGGUUCCUGCGCUCGGCUCGCGGGUCGGACACUGUAAACGUUUUUGGUAUGAGAAUUUCACCUCGUCUGAUGGAGUGAGCAGCCCAGGAAAAUGACACUGAGUGAAUGAAUGAGCUUUUUUUUUUUUUUUUAAAAAAAAAAAGAUUUUAAAGGGACAGCGUCAGGUACAAAGUCUGACCCAAUUGUCUGGGAAUACAAAAAGCUGCUUGUUAGAAAAAUCUGAGCUCCGUGACAGAAUUUGAUUCUGAUGGAAGCGAUUGAAAAAAAGAGAGGAAAAGAAAAGGAAAAAAAAAAAAGCCUAAGGCAGCCUGUGCAGGGUGUGCUGUGUUGUGUGAGUGCGGGAACAACGUGGGCUGAGGGCUGCCCAGACAGCCAGAGGGAGGAGGCCAAGCAACUCUUCGUAGUCUUUCAUUUCAAAGCAAAGGAGUUAUUUGUAACAAAGAUAAUUAGGUCUUUAACCUGACAGUGCCCCUUUAGUACGGAUGGAAUAUACAUUUGUGUUUCCCUCCCUGCAUCCAAAUGGAUCCUCUUCCAGAGGCAUGGAAAGGCAUUGAGUCACAUGCAUCGCUCUCCAAAACAGCUCAGAACAAACAGGUUAUAAACACAGAGUUAAACUAUUGCUAUUGUUCUUUGAGUGAGUAGCACGUUGAUCUUUGCUUCAGAGAGAUGAGUGCCAGAUGGGGGUGGCUGAAGAUAGACUGAUGUAGACUCUGAUGGACUGAAGUGGUGGAGAAAACUCACUGGCAUAUUUCCUGGUAACUACACCCACGUCAUCUGGUAUUAUUGCAGCAAUAAAGGUCCUGCUCUACAAUUGCUUCUCCAUGUUGGAUUUGCACAAUGGCAACAGAUGGGGGGCAAGGAAAGGAUCUGCGGAAUUUCAAGAAGCUGAACAAAGGGUGAGGACGGAGCGCUAUGAUUGUCAGUCUAACUGGUCAGUAGCUGCUGGGAACGUGAAGUGAUGGAGAGAAAACGUGAACAUCUCAUCAGCAUUGGGAAACGCACAGACUGCGCCUCGCCUCGGUGGUGGACUUUGAGGAAAGAGGAAUUUUGCAAAGGCCAUAUCCAAAUUUGCAGAAAUUAUUUUGUGACGUGGUUUGGUGACUUCACAGGAUGGAUUGUGGCUUGGCUUCCUACUCGGAUGGCAACUGUUUGAUCGACCGUUCGACUAGCAAAAAAGCUGGGACAAUUCACAUUGGUUUUAAACCCAGUAAGCUCCGGAUGUACAUUCAGAGGGAGCUCAGCUGAGUCCACA
ensembl:lncRNA